rnacentral:tRNA from 1 species
UGUGUUGUAGCUCAGUGGUAGAGAGCUUGCAUAGCAUGUGUGAGUCCCUGGGUUUGAUCCCCAGCACCACAU